UACAGAGGUCUCAAGCGUUGUUCGGAUUCAUUGGGCGUAAAGGGUGCGUAGGCGGCGCGGUAAGUCGGGUGUGAAAUCUUGGAGCUUAACUCCGAAACUGCAUUCGAUACUGCCGUGCUUGAGGACUGGAGAGGAGACUGGAAUUUACGGUGUAGCGGUGAAAUGCGUAGAUAUCGUAAGGAAGACCAGUGGCGGAAGGCGGGUCUCUGGACAGUUCCUGACGCUGAGGCACGAAGGCCAGGGGAGCGAACGGG
rnacentral:rRNA from 1 species